rnacentral:rRNA from 1 species
CGAACGGGUGAGUAAUACAUCGGAACGUGCCCAGUAGUGGGGGAUAACCCGGCGAAAGCCGGACUAAUACCGCAUACGACCUACGGGUGAAAGCAGGGGAUCGCAAGACCUUGCGCUAUCGGAGCGGCCGAUGUCAGAUUAGCUUGUUGGCGGGGUAAAAGCCCACCAAGGCGACGAUCUGUAGCUGGUCUGAGAGGACGACCAGCCACACUGGGACUGAGACACGGCCCAG